UUGUGCUCUUUUUGUUGCUCUUCUUUUUCCUGUAGAUUGAUUAUCUCUUCCCAACCAUCAGAUUUGAGCUAAAUAUUAUUUCCUCAGAGAAAUUUCCCUGAUAUCCUAGACUAAGGCAGAUGUCCCUGUGAUAUUCUUUCUAAUUAUUUGUGCACUUUUUAGAAUAGUAAUUAAGUUAUUCAAUGUGUGUGUCUCUCUGGCGGAGAACACUUGGAGAGGGGGCAACAUGCACAUGUGCUUCUUCAAUCUGAUACCCAGCGCUUGGCACAGUGCCUGCCACAAAGUGGAUGGAUAUAUCUUUGGAAGCUUUUCCUAUCUUUAAGAUAUACUGCUUUAGAAGAUUUGUCUUUGACAAAUCAUGAUUCUGAUGGCUCACGGAAGACUUAGUAAAAGUGUAAACUGAUGUAUGCAACAUUUUUUUCAAAACCAGCAAGAAGUAAGGGAAUACCAGUGACUGCCUCAUCAAGGAAAUAGGUAAACAACACCCAGCAGAACAGAAAAUGAGGGAUGGUGGACAUGAAGGAAGAAAUUCAGCCACACAGGGGAAGCUUGAUUACCAAAACAACCAUGUUUGAGGCAAUGCUUGGCUCUGGAGCUCCAAUGUGGCCCUAACAACACAGAAGUAGAACCAUGAAGAUACACAAGAUUAGGGCUUUUCUUGGGCUUCAGAUCAUCAUCCAGAAAGUCUUUUUUUGGAGAUCAAAGGUAUUUAUCACCAAGUAAACUUUUAAGGACCUGGCUCCAAACAUCAUGAGGGGGAUGGACACAAGACUACACCAUCACAGAAAUGGCAACCAAGUGAUGUCACAGAUCCAAGUGGUUACAUGUGGAAUACGUAGCAGAAAAGACCCCUCAGGGACUAAUAUGGGAAUCCAAUGGUGGACUCCUACUGAGAGGUAGGGCAGAGUGACAAACAUGGCAGAUUGGAGGUGCAUGGGGCAGAGACCUUGCCAAUCCUGUUCAAUUCUAUCGCAAGAACCAAAUUCAGAUCCUGACACAUGGGAGGCCCAUAAUGAGUAUUUGGUUACAUUUUGAAUGAAUGAUUUCUUUCUCUUAAAGGCUAACAAGGACCUGUGUAGACAGAUUUACUUACUUGAGUUUUACCAAAAUGGCAUUCCUUCACCCUUACUGACUCCUUCCAUUAUCACUGUAAAGUUAUCAUUUGUAGUAGAUCCAAUAAAAAGAUCAUUAUCUCUGGAGAGAUUCUAAAAGAAGCCAAUGGGAAACACUCUCCCCUUUAUUCAUAAGCAGAUCUGUUGCUAUACUUCCUCAGGAAGCUAGCGGAUGUCAAAACCUAUGUCACACGUGACUUUUCCAUACAAGGUGUGUUUGUACAACAAUGCCCACAAGUGCAUGUAGAAAGCAUUUUUAUUGUAUAGCAUGAAAUAUGCACCUUAUAUUCAUCAUUCUAUUUGUGUGUGUGUGAGGAAUGAAUGAGAUUCAUGUCAUGUACCUAACAAAGCUCUAGGGUGAAUGGAGUCACCUCUGGCACCAGUCAUAGGGGCUCUGUCACUGUUCAUUUACAGGAGAUUGUUUCCCCUUUAACGUUCUUUUCAUUUAUUUGUCUUCUCAUUUCCAUGCUCUCCUUCUUCUGUUCACUCUAAUUUUUCUUUUUUAUAUUCUACUUUCUUCUCCUUUUAAAUUCAUAUCUAUUCUAGAAUAUCCCAACUUUUGCUCUCCACUUCAAACACACUCAUGCAGAGUUCAGUCAUAGAGGGGGAUGCUCAGCUUUACAUUUGGUACACAUUCGUUUAAGAAAUCCUCUUCCCAUGAAGAAACAGGAAUUUUCUCCAGGAGAUUAUGCUUACAAAAAGUUAUUUGUUUAUUAUCUGAUUUUUGCCACUAGAAUUACAAGCUACUAGAGAGCAGUUUCUGGAACUGUGCCUAAUAUGUAUACCCCCUGAAAAAAUAUUUGUUGAAUAAAUGAAUAUAUACUGAAUGCCUAUGCAGAUAGACAUGGUAAGUUUUACCGCUUGAUGUAAAUAGAUGUGGUCUGUCUGCAUCUGUGCCAUCUGUAAAUGGUGACCAACCCGCAGCUUUGCAAAGACUCCAUUGAAUCUCGAGAAAGCAAACCUCUCACAUUUCUUUCUUCUCC